UUUGCUUCCCCUCCCCAAGCUGAUUUCAAGGAGCUACCACACUCUCAUCUCCCGUCAGCCAAAUGAAUAUUCAAAAGGCUUUUGCCAAGCCAACUGCCAGUCAAUCAGAGAAACAAUGCUGCAGGGAAAAAAACACUGGGCUGAGAGACCUGUGUGAGACAGGCACCUUGUCCCUCACCACGGCUCUGCUUGAGCAUCCAAGCCUUUAAUGUGGUGCACGGUGCUCCUGCCAGGUCUGCUGCUCUGCCUGCUCCAUCCCCUGCCACCCCACAGGACUGCAGGGCUACAGCAGAGCUGCUGGAUGGAGGAUGAGCAUCCCAAACCAGGGUGCUGUGAGUGGGGAAAGAUCCCAGGACUGUGAUCCCAGCAACACACCCCUCCUGAGGGAGCUGCAGAUAGCUCUUCCCUCUCUUCUGCUACAGGCUGGGACCACAAAUGUUUCCUGCAUGGGAUGGGCAGGUUCCUGGUGAGGUCCCACUCCCUGCUCAGCAGCAGCUGGUAGGAAUUGGGCCUUUCUGCUCUGUGCACUGUACAUGGACAAGCCAAGGUGGACAACUCCGGCCUUGCAGAUGUUGGGAGGAGGGAGCCAAGGGGAUCUGCAGCAGUUGACAGUGUGUCAUGCCUAAUACUCAAGCUUUUCCAGGCCUCAGAGGAUCCCUGAAUAGAAAGAAACCACCCACCACUGGAACACAGCCACUUUUGUGGCUGGAAGGGGCAGAUGUUCAACCCCAUACAACAAUGCAACACAACAGUCGAGGCUGUAAGUGAAGAAUGCUGCAUCCACUUAAAACUGAAGGGGGAAAUUAGGGACACCAUCUAAUUCUAGAACUACCAUUUGGUCCUGGUGCUUAAAGUUCACAUACCUACUCUGCAAGAGUGGCACAGGGCUUCCUUCCAUUGCCUUAAAUAGACAAUAUCCUGGACUGAAGCACUGAACCACAAGGACUUCAGAAGCAUAUGGUCAGACUGGCAAGUGCUCAGCUCCUUCAGCUGGAACACCAGUUCCCAAAUAAGUUCAGUUCCUUUUUAGCACCUACAUAAGUGACAGACUUCCAGCAAUCCCAACUGGACUGCACAGGACAGGCCCUGCUGGCACAGAGAGGGCAGACCAUUAAGAGAGCUCAGUAUUCUGACAGCCAAACCCUUUGCUGAGAUGAGCCUGGGGAGAAGCUGCAUUUCGGAAAUCCUGCUCACCACAGCCAGCAUUAAAUCCUUCACCACUCAGUUGCCAAGAAGAGCUUGGCAUGGAGACAACCAUCCUUACCACCACACCCUCAUUCACUGACCCCCAAGAUUUCCCAUGGGACAACCUUCUCCCUUUCUCUGAAAUACCCAGCAUGUCUUUUAGGAUUGAUAGCAAGAGAAAAAUGGAUUUGAGACAUGAUUUGAGAUCUCUCUGGGCGAAAUCUGGGCAUCUGGAUCAUGCACCUGCCACCCAGAUGCAAUCCUGGUCAUUUGCUCCCUGGUUAGAAACUGUAUUUGUUCAAAACCAUCUGUCAAGACACUCUGGACGGAACUCAGAGACACAAAGUUCAAGGGUUAUUUGUGAAACAAACCGUGCCAGACAGGACUCUCCUCUUCCUCCAGCUGUUUAGUGACACUUGGAAUGAAGUGGCCUUACUGGAGAGUCAAUUAUUUUUUAAGUUGAAAACUCACCAUCCUCUAGAUCAGCUGUGAGCUGAAAGCAUCCCAGUUAUUCACUGCUGGAAGCUAAGGGAAUUUCCUUACUCCCAGAAGACAGACAUUUAAAAUUAGUUUCAAGUUCAGUUGUGAUAAACAAAUCAUAUUCUCCUCCUUUCCUUCUCCUGUUUUGUUUUGAGUUUUUUGUUUUGUUUUUUUUUUUUUGGUUUGUUUUUUUUCUGGGGGGCUGGAGGGGGGAUUGGUUUUUUUGGGUUUUUUGUUUGUUGUUUGUUUUUUAAAUCAUUCCUGCUAGUCCAAUCAGUCUUUUCCUUAGUUGCUGUUUGCAACUCCUCAUUUAAAAAUUCAUUCACAAGGAUGCAGGGGAACCACAGACAUCCUCUAAGAAGAAACAGCAAAGCCAGAUCCCUGAUUUCAGAGCUUUUCUUUUGACACUUGAUUCCCUGAGAACCUAAUUAAAAAGAAACAAACCACCAUGUAUUUAGGUUUUUCCCCACUUCCUGUGAAGAGCAAAAGGUUGGGAGCUGGGAUGGGGGCUCAGGAGUUCAGCUCUCUGCUGACAACCAAGAUGAGCCCACUCCACCUACCCUGCCCAAAAGCUCGGGAUGCAAACAGCUCCCAGCAGACUGAUGAGGAAGACAAAAGACAAAUUUUAAAUUGAUAUGACACUGCAACUAAAGGGUUUGGGGUUUUGGACUGAGUCCCACAAGCCUGAAUUCAUAUGGAUGUACUUUGUACCUUGUGGAUCACAAGGCCUUGAUAGAAGAAGAUUCUUUUAAAAAAUUCAGGCAUGCUGGGAGAAUUGCCUCCUUGCCAUGUUUCAGUGAGUCUGCCCAUGAACUGCCAGCAAUUAAUAAGCUUACACUCUGCAUUCAAAGCUCUAUACACUGGAGUUUAUUAUUUUUAAGCCUUUCAGACAUCAAUGUAGCAAACUUAACAGAGCUAUUUGGAAGAUUAAGAUACAAACACCACCAUAUUAUUCAAUUUAGCUCCAACACUGAACCCUUAUUUUUGUAAAGGAUCACAGCUAAUACACUGCCAGCUGCCAGCAGAGACAAACACUUAAAAGUCACACUGCAGCAUGGUCUUGUAAAUCAAAUUUAGGAUAUAAGAAGAAGAAAAUUACUAUCAUUAUGCAAGUACAGCCCAAUCACCACCAACUGAUAGCAAACCUAUCUUCAGGUCUUGGCCACAGGCUUCAAAAAUCCAUCCCUCGAAAUGACAGCCCAAGGAAAUCCUCAUUUUCUGUGCAUGCAGCCAGGUGUGAACCUACUAGUACAUUUCCAAUAGCUGUAUUAGAUCACUUUUCUAAGUAUUUUAUAUGCCCAUACAAGUGCAAAGAGACUUUGUUACCAUCUCACCACCCCAGUUCACUAAUAGCUGCUCUCAUUACAGUGCUCACAGGAGAGCUGACUGCUGCAUUUUGCCCUCCUGAAACCAUCCCACCCUUCACAAACAAUUGCGUGAACUUAGGUUAGACUGGAUGCAGGAGUAGCAGAGGGGAACAACAUCCUUCAUGGGAAUGAGGGAAUGAAAUGAAAUAAGAGUCAAUAAAAAAUCCGUUUGCAAUAUGAAUACUGUCUUUCCUUAGAGCUGACUUAACCUGAAGCCUUUGGAAAAAAUCCAUCUGUUGCAAAUUUAAAAUUUCCUAGCCCUUCAAAUGAACAUGGAAAAUUUCUCAUUGCAAAGUGUUCCCUGAAUAACAGAAAUAUUUCUGGUUUACACCAAAGGCAUCACAGACUAUGUCAGAACUCCAGCAAGACAGAAAUCAAGAACCCCUUCUGGCUUUUCAGAUAAAAAUGAAGGGUUGUCUCAUUACAGUAGUUUGAAACAUCCAUUAUCCUCAUUAGGGUAAAGGGCACAGCAACAUUAUUAACUGUGUUUCACAGCACUAAGAAAACAGCAGGAUAAAGUAAACUGCAGGAGUCAGCACGGGCACAGUAAGGUAAAAACAUGCAUGCUGUGUCAGCAGGCAGCCUGCACACACAG
rnacentral:lncRNA from 1 species